rnacentral:rRNA from 1 species
GACGAACGCUGGCGGCGUGGAUUAGGCAUGCAAGUCGAACGGUAUCAUCCUUUCGGGGGUGAGAGAGUGGCGAACUGGUGAGUAACACGUAGGUUAUCUACCCUCAAGACGGGGACAACCCAGGGAAACUUGGGCUAAUACCGGAUGUGAGCAACUUUUUAGUUGUUUGAAAGGUGGCGUAAGCUGUCGCUUGGGGAUGAGCCUGCGUCCUAUUAGUUAGUUGGUGAGGUAACGGCUCACCUAGGCAAUGAUAGGUAGGCGGCCUUAACGGGUGGUCGCCCACACUGGGAUUGAGAUACGGCCCAGACUCCUACGGGAGGCAGCAGUCGAGAAUAGUCUACAAUGGCCGGAAGGCUGAUAGUGCGACGCCGCGUGAACGAGGGAGCCCUUCGGGGUGUAAAGUUCUUUUCUAUACGAGCAGUGCUAUAUAUAUGGAUAGUAUAUAUAGAGGGAUAGUAGUAUAGGAAUAAGCAACGGCUAACUCCGUGCCAGCAGCCGCGGUAAUCACGAG